CCAGGGAUUGCAAAGAGUUGGACAUGACUAAGCAACUGAGCAGACAGCACACGACUACCCUUGAACCUUGCCUUCAUUCACCAGAUUGUUAUCUGGUGAUAACACCUGCUGAGAGCCAGGAGAUCUGCUAAAGGCCAGUCCCUGGGAACACAAAGAUCCUCCCUGUGAAUCUGACCAUGCCAGCCCCUCCCCAUCCUUUACAAAACUCCUGAGGACAGACAGCGCCUUAGAUUGCCUAUUGCCCCCUGCUCUGCACUGCCAGGUGUUCUUUUUGUCAUUCCCUGUGCCUGCUCCAAAAAGAUGGAGCCACGCCCACAGGUAGGAAAGUUCCCCAGCCAUCUCCCUUUUCCUUUUUCCCUCCCUGCUGUCAGUCUCCUUCCUAGACCAUCUGGCUGUAGCCCGGACAUCCCCCAAAUGUCCGAGGAGGCCUCAGCCCCAGGGCGGGGGGCAUCACAGUGCAAGUCCAUCCCCUGCCGGCGGCAGCCUUCUCCUCCACUCGUCCCCAGUUUUCCCAUCUGUCCCUCUCCUUUUCUCACAUCCCCUCCCUGCCUCAGCAGCUCAUCCUCUCUCCUGCUGCUUCUCCUCCUGUUCCAUGCUUCUCUGCUUUCCUGGCUACCCACAGCCCUCUCAGAUGGCUGGCUUACUCCCAAAUCCCAACCACACUGCAGGCCUCCCAUGACCUGCCUCUGCCUGCCCUCCUCCCUGCUUCCCCUCCCCCAGCCCCCCACCACUAGCAGACCCAACUCCUGGGCCUGGAAUGCCCCCACCACAAAAGAGUCAUAGAAGAGGCAAGCAGGGUGGGAAGUGGCAAUUUCCAGGCGUCACUGAGCCUGGAUGGGGCAGUGGCUGCCUUAAUAUUGUCACAGGAAAGAUUCCUAACCCUGGAGCCGGCCUCUUUCCCAAAGGUUAUAGGCCAUUAUCAGGUCCUACGAAGCAGAAGCAGAAACUGGGGAGUUAUCCAACCCCUAGGGACUUCCCAGGUGGCGCCAUUGGUAAAGAAUCUGCCUGCCCAUGCAGGAGACUUAAGAGACAUGGUUUGAUACCCGGGUCAGGAAGAUUCCCUGGAGGAGGGCAGGGCAACCCACUCCAGUGUUCUAGGCAAGAGAAGAGUCAGAUCGCAGAGUCAGAUACAAUUGAAGCAACUUAUGCACACACACAGAGUGGGGCUAUAACCCUCCACUGCCUGCUCCCUUGGGGGUCCCAGGUCCCCAGUGCCCAGCACCGGAAGCAAAAUUGUGUCUCCUCUCUUCCCGGGGCCUGUGUCAACAGGCAAAGAAACUCUUCUGGCCUCGGGGCCUCAGGAGUGGUUCCAGCCAAGACAGAAGGUUAAACCACCCAUUCCAGGAGUCUUCUGUCUCAAGCAAUAAAACCUUGAUUUUACCCUCUAUUCUUCCUGAUUUCAUGAGUCUGGCACCUGCUCAGGGACAGGCAUGGGCUCACAUGUACUCCUAUUGACAUAUAUACACGUAGCCAGGCACAUGCACCCAUAGGCAUGUACCUGUGUACACAGAAGGCCUUUAUAGGCUCAUGUAUACAGACAUAACUAUUUUUAUGUAGAGGCAGUACAUAUCUUUACCUGCACACAUGUAGUACCUACAUAGAGAACUAGCACAUCCUUACCUUUGUCUCCUCCCACCCUUCAGCUGACUCCUCCUUCCCCUUGGCUCCUGCAUCCCUCCUCACUGUGCCUCCUGUCUCUUCCAUGCUCCUGGCCCUCACUGAGUUCCUCUGUAGCCUCCCGCAGCCCUACCUUCAUUUCUAAGUAGUCAACAUGGCAAAACCUCUAAUCACUCUUCACGGGUUCUUGGGUGAAGGAAGGGAGAAGAUGAGAUACUUCAGCUUCUUAGUCACAGAUAAAAAAGCCGAGGUCCAGAGGGUGGGAGUCAUAUCAGCUCAAGGAAUAGAACCCAAUGAAUCUAGUUUCCUCCCGUUGUGUCUGCUCUGUGCUCUGGUUUCAUCAAGGCAAAAUGCCUAAAACUAGGAGCAGUCACUUGCUAUCUCUGUCUCCCAGACCUCUACCAUGAGCCCCUGCUAGUGCCCAGGAAUCCUGAGUCCUCUAGAGGAGGAGCAGCAGAGAGACAAGGGGAAGGGAGAGGAGGAGUUGAUCUCAGGUAAGACUGUCACUGACCUCUGACUCUAAUAUUGUUCAUCUGAUUUUCCACAGGGACAUGGCCAUGGGCACCCCCCUGGCCCUGGGCACAGCCAUGGAGGUGGGCACCCUCCUGGCCCUGGGCACCACCAUCCCCCUGGCCCUGGGCACAGCCAUGGCCCUGGGCACCCCCCUGGCCCUGGAAACCACCCUCCAUGUCCCCACCCUGGAUCAGGGCACUGUCCUGGAAGGGGCCACCCACCAGGGCCCCCUGGGCACCCCCCUGGUCCACAUCACUGAGGAAGCAGAAGAAACAGGACUCAAGAAUGUGGAGCCUGAUCUAGCAUGGAGCCUGAACCAGAAUCUUCUGUUCCUAAUAAACAGCCUCCUAGAGGCCACGUUCUACUCUUAAAA